rnacentral:rRNA from 1 species
GAUCCUGGCUCAGGAUGAACGCUAGCUACAGGCUUAACACAUGCAAGUCGAGGGGAAACGACAUCGAAAGCUUGCUUUUGGUGGGCGUCGACCGGCGCACGGGUGAGUAACGCGUAUCCAACCUGCCCACCACUUGGGAAUAACCUUGCGAAAGUAAGACUAAUACCCAAUGAUAUCUCUAGAAGGCAUCAGAAAGAGAUUAAAGAUUUAUCGGUGAUGGAUGGGGAUGCGUCUGAUUAG